UCUGGGUUCGAAUUCAAUUCAAAAUAUAAGCACUGCUCCAGUACAUUGGAUGCAUGGUUGUAUCAAAAGAAUUGUGCUGGUGUCUUUCCUUUCCAGACGAGUCCAAGCGAGCCAGGACCAGAACCGGGCCCCAGAGAAAUAAUCUGUAAACCAGGGACCAGGCAACCGCUGUAUACUUGCCAGAGCUAAUGCCGACACCAUGACAGAAGCUCAGAUGCAGCUUUAUUUUGAAGGAGAAGCUCUGCUUUGUUCUGGUUCACUCCUCAUUAGAGGCGGCACUAGUGAUGGAGCGACAGAGGGCACGGUGGGAGAAACUGGGAGAUAAAGAUGAAUGGGACAGCAAAAGUCGAGAAAGAAGAGACCUGUGACCUCUGAUUAACACCCUCCAUACCCCCCCCUCCACCUCCUCCAGCAGUGGCCUUUACCACUCAUGACGGAAUACAGCCAGGAAGCUCGAAUCUCCACGCUCCGUCACGAUCUCACACCAGGCGAGGACGCACAUUGAUCUCCUGGGCUGGUGUUCAUUUCAAAUUCCUGUUAGGAUCCAUCCACUUCAUCGAUUUCACCAUCUCCUCUGAUUAGGCACUUGUGAGGAACAUCCGAGCGUUCCUGCUGCUGCAUCAGGAAGACUUGCCCCAGUGGGCUGCUGAUAAAAAUGAUAGGAGUUCACAUUAUUCAGUUUUGGAACAGCUGGUAAAUUUGAGCAGAAUCAACCCUGAGGAGAGUGACAGACAUCCAAAAAUAUUUUUCCUAUAGUCUGCACGUACUGUAACAUAAUUCCAUUCAAAU